GCAGCCGCGGUAAUACGUAGGGUGAGAGCGUUAAUCGGAAUUACUGGGCGUAAAGCGUGCGCAGGCGGCCUGUUAAGUUUCAGGUGAAAUCUCCCGGCUCAACUGGGAGGGGUCCUGGAAAACUGGCAGGCUUGAGGCAGGGAGAGGGAUGUGGAAUUCCCGGUGUAGUGGUGAAAUGCGUAGAUAUCGGGAGGAACACCAGUGGCGAAGGCGGCAUCCUGGCCCUGUCCUGACGCUCAGGGGCGAAAGCGUGGGGAGCAAA
rnacentral:rRNA from 1 species